UCAGCCGAGACUCCUCUGCUCACCUCCUCGAUGUCGUUGAAGGCCUCCACAGCUCUCAGCACCAGACCCUCCUCCUCCGACAGCACGUACACGUCCUGGAUGCCCUGUUCAAGGCGCUCACCCGGCUGCAGGAAAAAUGAGCGCUCACCCUGACAACGAGAAAGAGGGCGUCGGUUACCAGCUUUCUGGAUCUGUGGGGUCUGGAUCUGUGGUUGCAGGCUUCCUGCUGCCACCAUGUUCCUGCUCGACACCCUCUGCUACAAUUAUUAUCAUCAUUAGUCCUAUUAUUAGCAUUAUUAUCACUAUUGCCAUCACUAUCAGUACUGUUAUUUAUUUUCUGUAUGUACCACUACCACUUUUACUGUUUUGUAUUUCUGUGGUCAGUAAACAAUAUUACAAAAGCACGGUCUAGACCUGCUCGACAUGGAAAGUGCAAUGAAAUAACUUUGUGAAGAACUGGUGCUUCGUAAAUAAAAUAAAACUGAAUUACAACACAAAA